GGCUGAAAUUCGCCUUCAUGAAGCCGGAAUUGCUAGUAAUGGCAGGUCAGCAUACUGCCGUGAAUACGUUCCCGGGCCUUGUACACACCGCCCGUCACACCAUGAGAGUUGGGAAUACCCGAAGCCUGUGAGCUAACGUUAAGAGGCAGCAGUCGAAGGUAGAAUCAAUGAUUGGGGUGAAGUCGUAACAAGGUAUC
rnacentral:rRNA from 1 species